rnacentral:ncRNA from 2 species
AUCUUAUCUAGAGUGGUGGAGGGACUGGCCCAAUGAAACCCGGCAACCGGCCAAAAUUUGGCGACGGUGCCAACUCCUGCGGAACCGAGUAGGUUCUGAGAGAUGAGGG